CAGCAGCCACGGGAAUACGUAGGUGGCAAGCGUUGUCCGGAAUUAUUGGGCGUAAAGCGCGCGCAGGUGGUUUAAUAAGUCUGAUGUGAAAGCCCACGGCUCAACCGUGGAGGGUCAUUGGAAACUGGGAGACUUGAGUGCAGAAGAGGAGAGCGGAAUUCCAUGUGUAGCGGUGAAAUGCGUAGAUAUUGGGAAGAACACCAGUGGCGAAGGCGGCUUUCUGGACGGCAACUGACACUGAGGCUCGAAAGCCAGGGGAGCGAACAGGAUUAGAGACCCCCGUAGUCCCUGUCUCUUAUAC
rnacentral:rRNA from 1 species